AGAAUCAACGCUGGCGGCGUGCCUAACACAUGCAAGUCGAACGCGAAAGUCCCGAAAGGGAUAAGUAGAGUGGCAAACGGGUGAGUAACACGUGGGUGACCUGCCUUCGGGCGGGGGAUAACGUCCCGAAAGGGACGCUAAUACCGCAUAACAUCCUGCCUUUUAAGAGGUGGAGAUCAAAGCCGGGGACCGCAAGGCCUGGCACUUGAAGAGGGGCCCGCGUCUGAUUAGCUAGUUGGUGGGGUAAUGGCCUACCAAGGCAACGAUCAGUAUCC
rnacentral:rRNA from 1 species